rnacentral:rRNA from 1 species
CAGCAGUCGCCGCGGGAAUACGUAGGUGGCAAGCGUUGUCCGGAGUUAUUGGGCGUAAAGGGCUCGCAGGCGGUUUCUUAAGUCUGAUGUGAAAGCCCCCGGCUCAACCGGGGAGGGUCAUUGGAAACUGGGAAACUUGAGUGCAGAAGAGGAGAGUGGAAUUCCACGUGUAGCGGUGAAAUGCGUAGAGAUGUGGAGGAACACCAGUGGCGAAGGCGACUCUCUGGUCUGUAACUGACGCUGAGGAGCGAAAGCGUGGGGAGCGAACAGGAUUAGAUACCCGAGUAGUCCCUGUCUCUUAUAC